rnacentral:rRNA from 1 species
AGAGUUUGAUCCUGGCUCAGAUUGAACGCUGGCGGCGUGCCUUACACAUGCAAGUCGAACGGCAGCACGGGAGCUUGCUCCUGGUGGCGAGUGGCGAACGGGUGAGUAAUAUAUCGGAACGUACCCUAGAGUGGGGGAUAACGUAGCGAAAGUUACGCUAAUACCGCAUACGAUCUACGGAUGAAAGUGGGGGAUCGCAAGACCUCAUGCUCAUGGAGCGGCCGAUAUCUGAUUAGCUAGUUGGUGGGGUAAAAGCUCACCAAGGCGACGAUCAGUAGCUGGUCUGAGAGGACGACCAGCCACACUGGAACUGAGACACGGUCCAGACUCCUACGGGAGGCAGCAGUGGGGAAUUUUGGACAAUGGGCGCAAGCCUGAUCCAGCAAUGCCGCGUGAGUGAAGAAGGCCUUCGGGUUGUAAAGCUCUUUUGUCAGGGAAGAAACGGUUCGGGCUAAUAUCCUGGGCUAACGACGGUACCUGAAGAAUAAGCACCGGCUAACUACGUGCCAGCAGCCGCGGUAAUACGUAGGGUGCAAGCGUUAAUCGGAAUUACUGGGCGUAAAGCGUGCGCAGGCGGUUGUGCAAGACAGAUGUGAAAUCCCCGGGCUCAACCUGGGAAUUGCAUUUGUGACUGCACGGCUAGAGUGUGUCAGAGGGGGGUAGAAUUCCACGUGUAGCAGUGAAAUGCGUAGAGAUGUGGAGGAAUACCGAUGGCGAAGGCAGCCCCCUGGGAUAACACUGACGCUCAUGCACGAAAGCGUGGGGAGCAAACAGGAUUAGAUACCCUGGUAGUCCACGCCCUAAACGAUGUCUACUAGUUGUCGGGUCUUAAUUGACUUGGUAACGCAGCUAACGCGUGAAGUAGACCGCCUGGGGAGUACGGCCGCAAGAUUAAAACUCAAAGGAAUUGACGGGGACCCGCACAAGCGGUGGAUGAUGUGGAUUAAUUCGAUGCAACGCGAAAAACCUUACCUACCCUUGACAUGUCCGGAAUCCUUGAGAGAUCAGGGAGUGCUCGAAAGAGAAUCGGAACACAGGUGCUGCAUGGCUGUCGUCAGCUCGUGUCGUGAGAUGUUGGGUUAAGUCCCGCAACGAGCGCAACCCUUGUCAUUAGUUGCUACGAAAGGGCACUCUAAUGAGACUGCCGGUGGCAAACCGGAGGAAGGUGGGGAUGACGUCAAGUCCUCAUGGCCCUUAUGGGUAGGGCUUCACACGUCAUACAAUGGUACAUACAGAGGGCCGCCAACCCGCGAGGGGGAGCUAAUCCCAGAAAGUGUAUCGUAGUCCGGAUUGUAGUCUGCAACUCGACUACAUGAAGUUGGAAUCGCUAGUAAUCGCGGAUCAGCAUGUCGCGGUGAAUACGUUCCCGGGUCUUGUACACACCGCCCGUCACACCAUGGGAGCGGGUUUCACCAGAAGUGGGUAGCCUAACCGCAAGGAGGGCGCUCACCACGGUGGGAUUCGUGACUGGGGUGAAGUCGUAACAAGGUA